GCAGACACAUUCCAGCCAAUCAGCAGCAGACCCUCCCUCCCAGACCCUCCCACCUGGACAGCAUCCAUUUUGAAGCUGCAUUCUUAGUGAGCUGUCCAGGAGGUGGGAGGGUCUGGGAGGGAGGGUCUGCUGCUGAUUGGCUGGAAUGUGUCUG